rnacentral:rRNA from 1 species
UACGUAGGGUGCGAGCGUUUGUCCGGAAUUAUUGGGCGUAAAGGGCUCGUAGGCGGUUUGUCGCGUCGGGAGUGAAAACACACAGCUUAACUGUGUGCUUGCUUCCGAUACGGGCAGACUAGAGGUAUGCAGGGGAGAACGGAAUUCCUGGUGUAGCGGUGAAAUGCGCAGAUAUCAGGAGGAACACCGGUGGCGAAGGCGGUUCUCUGGGCAUUACCUGACGCUGAGGAGCGAAAGUGUGGGGAGCGAACAGG